GACGAACGCUGGCGGCGUGCUUAACACAUCCAAGUCGAACGGAAAGGCCCUGCUUUUGUGGGGUGCUCGAGUGGCGAACGGGUGAGUAACACGUGAGUAACCUGCCCUUGACUUUGGGAUAACUUCAGGAAACUGGGGCUAAUACCGGAUAGGAGCUCCUGCUGCAUGGUGGGGGUUGGAAAGUUUCGGCGGUUGGGGAUGGACUCGCGGCUUAUCAGCUUGUUGGUGGGGUAGUGGCUUACCAAGGCUUUGACGGGUAGCCGGCCUGAGAGGGUGACCGGCCACAUUGGGACUGAGAUACGGCCCAGACUCCUACGGGAGGCAGCAGUGGGGAAUAUUGCACAAUGGGCGGAAGCCUGAUGCAGCAACGCCGCGUGCGGGAUGACGGCCUUCGGGUUGUAAACCGCUUUCGCCUGUGACGAAGCGUGAGGGACGGUAAUGGGUAAAGAAGCACCGGCUAACUACGU
rnacentral:rRNA from 1 species